rnacentral:lncRNA from 1 species
GGGGGGGGGGGGGGGGGGGGGGGGGGGGGGGGGGGGGGGGGGGGGGGGGGGGGGGGGGGGGGGGGCCGCCGCCGCCCCCCGCCGCCAUGUUGGAAUCGGGCGGGCGAGCGCGGCCCCGGCGGCCCGCGCGGCCGCUGCGUCAGCGCGCACAGCGCAGGCCACGCCCCCAAGACAAAUCCCGCCCACUCCGCUGUUCCGCCCGCUGAUUGGCCACGCCCCCGUCAGACCGCGCCUACAUCUCCUCCCAUUCACUGUGGCCACGCCCCCGUUCGUGACAGGCCACGCCCCCAGCGCCGCUUCCGGCCGUUGGAGCCAUGGCGGGAGGGGGGGGGGGGGGGGGGGGGGGGGGGGGGGGGGGGGGGGGGGGGGGGGGGGGGGAGCGCCUGAGGGAGCGGCGGGGCUGAGCGGGAACAGCGCCUGCGGAGCCCCAGCUGGAGCAGCCUCAGUUACUCACUGCUUUCAGCAUUGGAUUGAUGCAGUGACCCAGCACACAAGUAUUUAUCAUCUUUGGAGAAGCAGGCACUGCAAAGGCCUUGCAGCAGAGCUGUGGGCUGAAAAUGGAUGGUUGGCAUUAGAUUGUUGUGCUGGAGUGCUGCUGGAAGGGUGGUGGGAGCCGAAUAGAGCUCCUAGGUUAGGAAGCACUCAGAGCUGUGCAGGAAAGAGCCUGGAAGGACAGAGUGAAGCCCUUUAUUCCACCUGUGGAAUGGAGUAGCUCAGACACAUCCUUGGUGUGUUGUCAGAUGAAGGAAAGUCAGCAUUGAUCCAACCUCCUGCACCACUUUUGUUCUUUUUUCCUCCUGGAUUCUCCUCAGCUGGCUCAAUUUCUGUUUUCUAUUGCUAUUGUUAGCUUGAGAAGUCUCAUCCUCUUCCCUGGUUUGUGCCAUGUGUCUCACCCUGGUGACAUGAGCAGGACCAGCUGCAGACAAAUAACUGCUGUGAGUUUUGUUUUCUGUCAGAGCCGAGUUCCCAGCCCUCAGCACCAACACCUGGG